rnacentral:lncRNA from 1 species
AAAUACAAAUAUGUAGACCCAAAUAUAGAUAGGAAAUAACAAGAAUAUGUCAGAGAAUAAUCAAGAAUAUGCUAAGGAAUAAAUCUCUGGACUUUUAAUUGGAUAGUUUUCUAAUUAAGUUCAAUCUUUCCAAUAUAUAUUUUUUUUUCUUUUGGAUGUGUUAAAGCUUAAGUCAUAGAUUUCUUGGAGCAAGGCAUAUCUUCUUCUUUUUUAGAUUACAAAC